UCGAGAAAGAGCGUAAAACGCACUCCCCAUAAACACAGGCGUAAGAUGGAGCAUAAAACACACUCACCAUAAACACAGGCGUGAGAUGGAGCAUAAAACGCCCUCACUAUACAAAAAAAAGAGAAUAAAAUGGGAAGUAAGAGCAAAAAGCCCCCGUGAUUGAAAAAUAAAGCAUAAGUGCCCUAUUUGGACCCUUAAUAUUGGUAAUUGUUUGAUUUUAGCUGGAUCUAGUUUGUUUUUGGAGUUCUCGAGUUUAUACUGUAUGAUGCCUUCCAAGAAAUCUAUUAUGUUUCUUAUUUUUCUUUUCAUCAGUUAGCAUGGUUGUUGAGCACACACACGAUAUUAGUAAUAACAUGUUUAGAUUUGAUGGGUGGUUGGGAAAUUAUUGAUCUGUCUUGGUAUGAUGUACUAGCAUGUUAUUGUGAUUUCUCUAAGGUCUGAUUAGUAUAUUGUGUUCUGUUUGACUGUUGGAAUCGUAAGCAUGUAGAUAGUUACAUUUUCAUUUGCAUGGUAUAUUUAAUUUUUUAUUGCAUUGUGUUUUGUUACUUGACGACAAGCAAAUGUUUAAGUUUGGGGGUAUUUGAUGAAUGGGUAAUAUACCCAUGAAUUAGAUACAUCUGGGCUUAAUUUAUUGUUGUUCUCAAGUCUUUUAGAUUAUUUUUUAAGUGUUUG
rnacentral:lncRNA from 1 species